GGUUUAAUUCGAUGCAACGCGAAGAACCUUACCUACUCUUGACAUCCAGAGAACUUAGCAGAGAUGCUUUGGUGCUUUCGGGAACUCUGAGACAGGUGCUGCAUGGCUGUCGUCAGCUCGUGUUGUGAAAUGUUGGGUUAAGUCCCGCAACGAGCGCAACCCUUAUCCUUUGUUGCCAGCGGUUAGGCCGGGAACUCAAAGGAGACUGCCAGUGAUAAACUGGAGGAAGGUGGGGAUGACGUCAAGUCAUCAUGGCCCUUACGAGUAGGGCUACACACGUGCUACAAUGGCGCAUACAAAGAGAAGCGACCUCGCGAGAGCAAGCGGACCUCAUAAAGUGCGUCGUAGUCCGGAUUGGAGUCUGCAACUCGACUCCAUGAAGUCGGAAUCGCUAGUAAUCGUGGAUCAGAAUGCCACGGUGAAUACGUUCCCGGGCCUUGUACACACCGCCCGUCACACCAUGGGAGUGGGUGCAAAAGAAGUAGGUAGCUUAACCUUCG
rnacentral:rRNA from 1 species